AGCAUAUCAAUAAGCGGAGGAAAAGAAACUAACAAGGAUUCCCCUAGUAACUGCGAGUGAAGCGGGAAAAGCUCAAAUUUAAAAUCUGGCGGUCUUUGGCCGUCCGAGUUGUAGUCUGGAGAAGUGCUUUCCGCGCUGGACCGUGUACAAGUCUCUUGGAACAGAGCGUCAUAGAGGGUGAGAAUCCCGUCUUUGACACGGACUACCAGUGCUUUGUGAUGCGCUCUCAAAGAGUCGAGUUGUUUGGGAAUGCAGCUCAAAAUGGGUGGUGAAUUCCAUCUAAAGCUAAAUAUUGGCGAGAGACCGAUAGCGAACAAGUACCGUGAGGGAAAGAUGAAAAGCACUUUGGAAAGAGAGUUAAACAGUACGUGAAAUUGCUGAAAGGGAAACGCUUGAAGUCAGUCGCGUUGUCCGGAACUCAGCCUUGCUUCGGCUUGGUGCACUUUCCGGAUGACGGGCCAGCAUCGAUUUUGACCGCCGGAAAAGGGUAGGAGAAAUGUGGCACCUUCGGGUGUGUUAUAGUCUCCUAUCGCAUACGGCGGUUGGGAUCGAGGAACGCAGCGCGCCUUAUGGCUGGGGUUCGCCCACAUUCGCGCUUAGGAUGCUGGCAUAAUGGCUUUAAACGACCCGUCUUGAAACACGGACCAAGGAGUCUAACAUACCUGCGAGUGUUUGGGUGGAAAACCCGAGCGCGUAAUGAAAGUGAAAGUUGAGACCUCUGUCGUGGAGGGCAUCGACGCCCGGACCUGACGUUCUCUGACGGAUCCGCGGUAGAGCAUGUAUGUUGGGACCCGAAAGAUGGUGAACUAUGCCUGAAUAGGGUGAAGCCAGAGGAAACUCUGGUGGAGGCUCGUAGCGAUUCUGACGUGCAAAUCGAUCGUCAAAUUUGGGUAUAGGGGCGAAAGACUAAUCGAACCAUCUAGUAGCUGGUUCCUGCCGA
rnacentral:rRNA from 1 species